rnacentral:lncRNA from 12 species
GGGGGGGGGGGGGGGGGGCGCCCCGCGCGCUCCCGCCGCGCGCCCGGAGGCGCCGUCGCGCGUCUCCCCUCAGGGGCGGCUGAGGGGUGUCCGCAGCAAACGGUCGGGGGGUUCUGCAAAGCUGCGGCCGCGCCGGUGGCUGCCUCGCCUCUGGGUUCGCUCCUCGGCCGCAGAGGAAGGAGAUGUGAUGAGGAAGGACCUGGUUCUGCACCGCCACAGGCUCUUCGGAAGGUGUCGCUUGCGAAAGGUGUCAGCGCUUUCCGGAGCGUGUACUGGGGAGAGGAGAAAGGCUGCCGUGCGAUGGGGCCCCCGGCGGAACUGCCCCAGGCUCCUGUGGGAGGACUUUGCUGAUGCUCCUCCAACCCAGGAGUAA